GACGAACGCUGGCGGCGUGCUUAACACAUGCAAGUCGAACGGAAGGGCCCUGCUUUUGUGGGGUGCUCGAGUGGCGAACGGGUGAGUAACACGUGAGUAACCUGCCCUCGACUUUGGGAUAACUUCAGGAAACUGGGGCUAAUACCGGAUAGGAGCUCCUGCUGCAUGGUGGGGAUUGGAAAGUUUCGGCGGUUGGGGAUGGACUCGCGGCUUAUCAGCUUGUUGGUGGGGUAGUGGCUUACCAAGGCUUUGACGGGUAGCCGGCCUGAGAGGGUGACCGGCCACAUUGGGACUGAGAUACGGCCCAGACUCCUACGGGAGGCAGCAGUGGGGAAUAUUGCACAAUGGGCGGAAGCCUGAUGCAGCAACGCCGCGUGCGGGAUGACGGCCUUCGGGUUGUAAACCGCUUUCGCCUGUGACGAAGCGUGAGUGACGGUAAUGGGUAAAGAAGCACCGGCUAACUACGUG
rnacentral:rRNA from 1 species